AAUACACAGAGAAGAUGAUACAGAAUUUAAAAAGCUACCUAGCUACAAUGAAAAACUUUCAUAUGUUUGCAUCAUUUGUCGGAAAAAUUGUGUUCAGAUAAAUAAGUUACUUCAAUCUUCAGAAAAGUCGAUGAAGUAUAUAGAACAAUACUGCCAUUCUAACCCCUAACUGCAUAUAGGGGACAUUGGACUUCUUUGACCGCAGAAAGCUUUGGAUUUGACCAGCAUGAAGCAAAGUUAGCAGGCCCAGCUUGGAAGUAAGGCAUGAACAUCUGAAUGUACAUAUGUAUAUAGUGAUAUGUAAAACAUCUGUAUUUCAUUUAUUAAAUGUUGUAACUUAUUUAUAAGUAUAUGUAUAUAUAUCACUAUAUUUUUGACAAUGUGUGUACCAAACGACUUGUUGUGAUUUAAUAAAAAUAAAAUCGGAAUAUCAUAUUU